rnacentral:lncRNA from 10 species
GCGGAGGUUGCACUGAGCUGAGAUCGCGCCACUGCACCCCAGCCUUGGAGACAGAGUGAGACUCUAUCUCAAAAAAAAAAAAAAAAAAAAAAAAAAAGUGAGAGUUCUUAAGCUCAAUGUAAUGAAUAUUUGGAUGUUGUCUUCCAGUACUUGUGACAUUUCCUAAAAUUAUUAAUAGGAGACCUCCACAUAAGGCCCAAUAAUCUUUUGCACAACCUUCAGCAAGAACUCUCCAUGAUGUUCUGGCAAACUGAUGGAACUACACAUAUUGAAGUUUUGAAUUAAAUAAUUUUCCUCAAGUUGCCACACAACUUUUGUUUACUAUUAUGUUUUCUGUAGAGACACGCUCUCAGUAUGUUGCUCAGAUUGGUCUUGGAUUCCUGGCCUCAAGCAAUCCUCCUGCCUCAGCCUCCCAAAGUGCUGGAAUGACAGGCAUGAGAA